ensembl:lincRNA
GAGCAUUUGCUACUCUUCCACGCUUCCUCCUCAAACAUGAAAUAUUUGUAGGCCUGUAGGAUAUUUAUAGUUAUAAAAACCUUAGAGACAACACAAACCAACAUUGCCUUCUCAUUUUACAGAUGAGAGUACUGAAGACCAGAAAUAUUAGUUGAAUUUUCCACUUGAAGAACAGAGGAAUGGAAAGCUCAAUUCUUACAUCACUCAUAAUGGACCUAUUGUGGACCUGAAUUAUGUAGGUGCAGGUAAGGCAUUGAAAAUGCCUUGAAUGGAGUUGCCAGCAAAGAUUCUCCAGGGUUCUUGAACAUCCCUCUUUAGGAGUCCUCCCAGGAUUGCCUGCGGAAUGUUGUAGAGGAAGAAGGACCCCAGAAAUCACCUUAUCAAUGUGUGUUGGAAAGUCAGACCUUUGGCAAGAACAGAUGCUAUCAGGAUAUGCAAAAUCAUGAUGAUGGGAGAACCAAAGACAUGACAAAGUAUGACGGUGAUCAAAGAGACUUGCUCUGUGCCAGGUACUGCUCUAAGCUUCU